UUUUUUCUAAUUUAAAAUUAUAGGAUUCUGUCAUGUGGGAUUUGAUUAUAUUAUCAGGGAAUUCAUGGGUUUGUGAGUAUUCCUAGGAAAUUUUGAUACUUGUGUCUUGGGGUUUGAUAUUUCUGCCUGAAACUUUAUUUUGUUUGGUGGGGCUAAGAAAGCUGAUUGUUUCUGUUAGGUUAGUUUUUUCGAGGUUUGUUUGAUUGGGUUCUAUGUGUCAAAUAUCAUGGGCUUUGAGGUUAAGAAGGCUUUUGAUUCUUUCCUGUCAGAAUUUUCUGAUUAUAUGACAUAGGUUUUGCCUUUUAUGUGCAAUACAAUACCAUAGGUUUUGAGGCCCAGAAAUUUCUUUCUUAUCAUAUAAAUGCUUUGUCCCAAAAGGGAUGCCUUAGCCAUAACUGGAAUAAAUGUAUGUAAACCCGAAAGUCUCUGGUUUGACUCUUAGUUGAGGCAUUUCGCAAUUUACCUAACACCCAAUCAAUGGGGGGGUGUGGGCAUCAGGGGUUUGCCCCUCAGGAUGGUCCCCACUUGCGCAUAACUUGAGGGCGUUCCUUGUAUAAUAAAAUAAAAAUAAAAUAAAGCUUUUAUUUAUGUUAUGGGUUUGAUGUGGUUAUGUGGAAUCUGAAGGGCUUUUGAAGAAAGGGUAAUUCUGUUUCUCAAAAACGAAAAAAGGGAAAAAGAAAAAGAAAAAAAAAAAAAAAUAUAUAUAUAUAUAUAUAUAUAUCUUACUAUCAGGAUCGUCUUCGUAGUUUUGACCAUUAUUGACGUUUUUUCAAAGAUUUAUUUGGUGUGAACCUUUAUGUACUGUUUGUGGAAGCUUAAGUUCUUAUGUGGAAUAGUAGAACUUGAUGUUUGAUUAGUUAUAACUUAUAUGUCGGCAUGGCUUUCAUCUAGCUAGCAUUCAUCUCAUGCACUUGAUCAUGAAGGGAACAGUAUUGAAGGCAUUGCAGAUGCAGAGCAGUAUAACAAAUGAGAAGUCUUGAAUGGCGCGCACUAGAUUCUUUAAGGCUUGCUCCCUAGUAGAGUGCACUAGAAUGGGCUUUCUGGUGGUGGAAAUCAUGAUGACAACAAUAGAUUUGGAUUUUGCAUCGGUAGUUGUGAGUCUCUGCACGGUGGCUAUUUGACUCACCACCAAUCCCCACAUGCCGCCACCGUUCAAUCCUUGCUACUGUCGUUCUCAUCAUCCACUGGACACCUCCACCCUGCAGGCCGCUGCUGCUUGGUUAGAGGGCUAUUGUGAAAACCUGUUGGACUACACAGACCCAUCAGAGUCAAGACACUUUGCUUUGGUGAUCACUUAUAAAAAUAAAAAUAAACCAAUUUUUAGGAAGUGAAGUCCUGAGUUUAUUAACUUUGUGUAAUUGCACUAUUCAUUUGAGCUAAUAGGCAAAACACAUUCCUAUUUUGAGCUUAUUAACUUUUUUCUAUUCUUGUUAUGAAUCUUGCUAUUACAGGUUAUUAUUAUACAUUAUAUUUGAAAAA